UAUUGCAAGCCCUAUAUGAAGGUUAUGCUUUCAUUGUCUAUGUAUAUACCCCUAGACAACCUUGCUUUAUAUACACAAUUUAACUAUCCAUUAAACGUUUAAAGGCUUAUUAAUAUUAUGUCUGUGUGGUACACAAAGAUGGGGUAUGAGUUCGGUAAAGUCGACCUGCAUAUGGAAUAUGCUUCCUCCUUGUUCACUUUUGUUCCUUGCUGGUCUGUGACUGGCCCUUUUUGACCCCAAAUGAAUUUCUUGGGAAGAUUCAUGAGAAAGAUACAGCAGGUUGUUUUGAUAGAAAGAAAGAAGGAAAAGGUAUGUUGUAGCAGUCACAAGGACUGUGAUCCUAAGCAGGCGAGACAAAUAAAUUUGGGAGGUGAUAGGAGAUUGAAUCAGAAAAGUUUUAAAGGCAAAGGUAGAGGAUUUGGUCAAAAGUUCUAACUUUUGUAGAGGUAGCAACUUCAGUAUUGGUGGA